rnacentral:rRNA from 1 species
UGCAAGUUGAACGGUAUGACAUGGAAGCUUGCUGAAGUGUCAUAUAGUAGCGGACGGGUGAGUAAUGCAUGAGAAGCUGCCAUUGGGAGGGGGACAACAGUUGGAAACGGCUGCUAAUACCCCGUAUGCCGGAAGGUGAAAGGGAGAAAUCCGCCUGAUGAGGUGCUCAUGUCCUAUCAGCUGGUUGGUGGGGUAACGGCCUACCAAGGCGACGACGGGUAGCCGGCCUGAGAGGGUGAACGGCCACACUGGAACUGAGAUACGGUCCAGACUCCUACGGGAGGCAGCAGUGGGGAAUAUUGGGCAAUGGGGGCAACCCUGACCCAGCGACGCCGCGUGAGGGAAGACGGCCUUCGGGUUGUAAACCUCUUUUGUACGGGAAGAAGGAAGUGACGGUACUGUACGAAUAAGUCCCGGCUAACUACGUGCCAGCAGCCGCGGUAAUACGUAGGGGACGAGCGUUGUCCGGAAUUACUGGGCGUAAAGGGCGCGCAGGCUGUGCUGCAAGUCAGCUGUGAAAUAUCUGGGCUUAACCUGGAUAUGCGGUUGAGACUGCAGUGCUGGAGUGCUGUAGAGGCAAGUGGAAUUCCCAGUGUAGCGGUGAAAUGCGUAGAUAUUGGGAAGAACACCGGUGGCGAAGGCGACUUGCUGGGCAGCAACUGACGCUGAGGCGCGAAAGCCAGGGGAGCAAACGGGAUUAGAUACCCCGGUAGUCCUGGCCGUAAACGAUGAGUGCUAGGUGUGGGUGUAGAGAUACAUUCGUGCCCGAAGUAACGCGAUAAGCAUUCCGCCUGGGGAGUACGGUCGCAAGAUUGAAACUCAAGGGAAUGGACGGGGGCCCGCACA